UACGUAGGUGGCGAGCGUUGUCCGGAUUUACUGGGCGUAAAGAGCGCGCAGGCGGUCGUUCAAGUCGCGUGUGAAAGCCCCCGGCUCAACUGGGGAGGGUCACGCGAUACUGAUCGACUCGAAGGCAGGAGAGGGUAGUGGAAUUCCCGGUGUAGUGGUGAAAUGCGUAGAUAUCGGAAGGAACAUCAGUGGCGAAAGCGACUUCCUGGACCAAUACUGACGCUCAUGUGCGAAAGCGUGGGGAGCAAACAGG
rnacentral:rRNA from 1 species